UUGGGCCUUCCAAAAUGUGAGGAAGCCAACUACCGCACAACUAUAUAUUCGGAAAAUAUAGGUAAGGCAGAUUCAGGCGAAUAUAACGAAUGGAUAACUAAAAGUUCUUACGUCGCGAAAUGAAAAUUCACUGCCAGAGUCGGGCAAUUCUAUAUCAAUGUUCCGGCGUAAGUUUGGGCCAGUAAAAGCAGUACAUGCAUUUUCUCGGAUCAAGUCAUCGGUAGCGACAAGCACAACAUUUAAAAGACUCAAAGAGACAUAUCAGUUAUAUAUAACCUUCGCGCCUUCGAUACGUUUAAAUUGAUAAAACUAUCAAAUAACUCAUUACGACUACGUAAUAUUCCUAAGAACUUUGAUGACCCACUUUAAAGAUCAGUUACACGAUUUACUGAUAAUUAUAUAAACAAUAAACCUGAAUUAGAAAAUGAUAUAAACGCAACUCGGAAUGCCUCUCUCUCCAUCUCUUCGAUUCUCUCGCGCGCACAGCCGACGAACUUGAACACCAGCAAUUUUACGCUUCAAUUCUUGAUUUCAAUAGAACUUGCAUUUUAAAGAAUUAAGGAUCAUUUAAAACACUUGAACGCGCAGACAAGAAGGCGGAAUACCGCCAUAAUAAAAUUUAUACGAAGCGCCUUCAAAGAUCCAGAGACUGCAACUGUUUUUUACCACGAAUACGCGAUAUACCAGCCAGAUAUUCAAAAUGUAUCACCCUGGAUUAGAUCCAGGGGAGUUCAAUAUGAAGCCGAAUGCGGACACGGCGAGCAACUACCCCAAUACAAUCACCCCACCAUCAUAUACAGAACAGGCAGUGGUGUCCAACCUUCGUCGAUUUACGGGUGCACCAGCUGCUACCCUCCAACAAAAACCCAAGGAUACGUUUGUAAUACAACACCAACCUACAGUAAAGGCUGCCUUCCCAAAACGUUUUAUGACUGUCGACUUCGAACAGGCCACGAUUCCCCUCCACCAGCCCAAUGAGUCCAGGCUUGCUUAUAUCCAUCAGGGUGCUGGGACACCGCUACAAAAGCAAGGCACGAUUGCUACAGUCGUGACAAAGCAACCUGCUCAAAUUCCAAGAGAAUGGAGCACUAAAUUAUGUGCUUGCUGUGAUGACACUGGCGUGUGCAUCGCCAGUGCCUGUUCGUGUCUGCUUUUUUGCUGUUGUGUUCCGGUCAUUGAGUAUCAGAUCGCUGAUGCUGCUGGGGUCAGUUGCUGCUACACGUUUUGUUUUGCUGAUAAACUGCGUAGAAUGAUCAGGAAAAGGCACAACAUUAAGGGGGACAAAGUGAUGACUUCUGGACUGUAUUUUGUUGUAUUUACUGCGCUUAUUGUCAAAUGCUACGAGAGAUAAAUAUUCACGGCAUGUAGCCUGCGGGUCAGCGGCGCUAAAUGUCGCGUGGUUCCUGGGAGGCGCUGUUACAUAGUGCAAUUUGUCUUGCAACUUGGAAUGUAUUUCUACUUUUAAGAGAUGUAAAUUAGUGAAGAGUCGUCAAGUCUAAACGUAAGAAAAGUCAUGGAAUGUAAGAUAACGCAAAAUUUAAAAAUAAGGGCGCUUUUCUGUAUGCGGUAAAAACCAGUCCUGUUGUAUUUCAGUACAGACAGAUUAAUGCCGGUUAUCUUAGAGUGUUUCAAAAACUCUUCAUUCUAACAUAUAGUUAUUUACAUCUGCGUAGUACGGGAAAUGCAGUUAUUAUUUUAUUAUAUUUUU